rnacentral:rRNA from 1 species
CCCUUAGAUGUCCUGGGCCGCACGCGCGCUACACUGACAUGUUCAACAAGCCUCCUAGUUCGACAGGAUUUGGGAAAUCUUUGAACGCACGUCGUGAUAGGGAUAGAUCAUUGCAAUUAUUGAUCUUGAACGAGGAAUUCCUAGUAAACGCGAGUCAUCAGCUCGCAUUGAUUACGUCCCUGCCCUUUGUACACACCGCCCGUCGCACCUACCGAUUGAAUGUUUCGGUGAAGAUUCCGGAUAGGACUUUUUUGAUUUAUUUCAAUUUUGUCUUAAAAGCUAUCUAAACCUCAACAUUUAGAGGAAGGUGAAGUCGUAACA